UCGAGCGACAGACGAGGAGCUUGCUCCUCUGACGUUAGCGGCGGACGGGUGAGUAACACGUGGAUAACCUACCUAUAAGACUGGGAUAACUUCGGGAAACCGGAGCUAAUACCGGAUAAUAUAUUGAACCGCAUGGUUCAAUAGUGAAAGACGGUUUUGCUGUCACUUAUAGAUGGAUCCGCGCCGCAUUAGCUAGUUGGUAAGGUAACGGCUUACCGAGGCAACGAUGCGUAGCCGACCUGAGAGGGUGAUCGGCCACACUGGAACUGAGACACGGUCCAGACUCCUACGGGAGGCAGCAGUAGGGAAUCUUCCGCAAUGGGCGAAAGCCUGACGGAGC
rnacentral:rRNA from 1 species